GCGGAUGGCUGGAUGGCCGCUUUGCGCGGGCGGCUCCGGCAGCCUGCCAGAGAGGAAAGUCCGGACUCCAAAAAGCACGGUGCCGGGUAAUGCCCGGCGGGGGCAACCCCAGGGAAAGCGCCACAGAGAACAGACUACCCCGUCACCCCGAGGUUCGCCAAGGGAAUCGUCGCGGGGAAAAGGUGAAACGGUGGAGUAAGAGCCCACCGCGGACCUGGCAACAGGGACGGCACGGCAAGCCCCACCGGGAGCAAUGCCAAAUAGGGGCCUCGCGCGGGUGUGAUCGGCAACGAUAUCCCCGCACGGAUGCUUGAACCGGAAGGCCCGGGUUGGCAGCUAGAGGCGCAUCGGCAACGGUGCGUUCAGAGGAAUGGUCAUCCAGAGGGGUCAAACCCUUGGACAAAAUCCGGCUUAUAGGCCGUCCGCGCAU
rnacentral:RNase_P_RNA from 2 species